rnacentral:rRNA from 1 species
GUGUCAGCCGCCGCGGUAAUACGGAGGGUGCAAGCGUUAUCCGGAAUCACUGGGUUUAAAGGGUGCGUAGGCGGCCUGUCAAGUCAGGGGUGAAAUGUCUUCGCUUAACGAAGAAAUUGCCUUUGAUACUGUCGGGCUUGAAACAGGUUGAGGUUGGCGGAAUGUGGCAUGUAGCGGUGAAAUGCAUAGAUAUGCCAUAGAACACCGAUUGCGUAGGCAGCUGGCUGGACCUGGAUUGACGCUGAGGCACGAAAGCGUGGGGAUCAAACAGGAUUAGAAACCCUUGUAGUCC